rnacentral:rRNA from 1 species
AGUGAACGCUGGCGGUAGGCCUAACACAUGCAAGUCGAACGGCAGCACAGUAAGAGCUUGCUCUUACGGGUGGCGAGUGGCGGACGGGUGAGGAAUACAUCGGAAUCUACUUUUUCGUGGGGGAUAACGUAGGGAAACUUACGCUAAUACCGCAUACGACCUACGGGUGAAAGCAGGGGAUCUUCGGACCUUGCGCGAUUGAAUGAGCCGAUGUCGGAUUAGCUAGUUGGCGGGGUAAAGGCCCACCAAGGCGACGAUCCGUAGCUGGUCUGAGAGGAUGAUCAGCCACACUGGAGCUGAGACACGGUCCAGACUCCUACGGGAGGCAGCAGUGGGGAAUAUUGGACAAUGGGCGAAAGCCUGAUCCAGCCAUACCGCGUGGGUGAAGAAGGCCUUCGGGUUGUAAAGCCCUUUUGUUGGGAAAGAAAAGCAGCAGGUUAAUACCCCGCUGUUCUGACGGUACCCAAAGAAUAAGCACCGGCUAACUUCGUG